CGGCGGACGGGUGAGUAACACGUGGGUAACCUACCUAUAAGACUGGGACAACUUCGGGAAACCGGAGCUAAUACCGGAUAAGAUAUCGAACCGCAUGGUUCGAUAGUGAAAGAUGGUUUUGCUAUCACUUAUAGAUGGACCCGCGCCGUAUUAGCUAGUUGGUGAGGUAACGGCUCACCAAGGCAACGAUACGUAGCCGACCUGAGAGGGUGAUCGGCCACACUGGAAAUGAGACACGGUCCAGACUCCUACGGGAGGCAGCAGCU
rnacentral:rRNA from 1 species